AGAGUUUGAUCAUCGGCUCACAAUGAACGUUGGCGGCGUGGAUUAGGCAUGCAAGUCGAGCGGUGAAGCAGUGCUUGCACUGUGGAUUAGCGGCGAAAGGGAGAGUAACGAGUGGAUUACCUACCUUCAGGACCAGGAUAGCUGCGAGAAAUUGCAGGUAAUACUGGAUAAUAUCUCCGGAUCAAAUGGUGUGAUUCCGCCUGGAGAUGGGUCCGCUUCCUAUUAGCUUGUUGGUGGGGUAACGGCCUACCAAGGCUGCGAUGGGUACCGGGUGUGAGAGCAUGGCCCGGCUCACUGGGACUGAGACACUGCCCAGACACCUACGGGUGGCUGCAGUCGAGAAUCUUCCGCAAUGGACGCAAGUCUGACGGAGCGACGCCGCGUGCGGGAUGAAGGCCUUCGGGUUGUAAACCGCUGUCAGUUGGGAGGAAAUGCUAUGGGGCUAUCCCCAUAGUUUGACCUAUCUUCAGAGGAAGGACGGGCUAAGUUCGUGCCAGCAGCCGCGGUAAUACGAACCGUCCAAACGUUAUUCGGAAUCACUGGGCUUAAAGGGUGCGUAGGCGGCUUGGCAAGUUGGGUGUGAAAUCCCUCGGCUCAACCGAGGAACUGCGCUCAAAACUGCCAAGCUAGAGGGAGAUAGAGGUGAGCGGAACUUAUGGUGGAGCGGUGAAAUGCGUUGAUAUCAUAAGGAACACCGGUGGCGAAAGCGGCUCACUGGAUCUCUUCUGACGCUGAGGCACGAAAGCUAGGGUAGCGAACGGGAUUAGAUACCCCGGUAGUCCUAGCUGUAAACGAUGAGCACUGGGUUGGAGG
rnacentral:rRNA from 1 species